rnacentral:snRNA from 1 species
CAAGAAGCCAAUCCAAUG